UAUGUCUGGGGCUACACACGUGCUACAAUGGCCGGUACAAACCGUCGCAAAACCGCAAGGUGGAGCUAAUCGGAGAAAGCCGGUCUCAGUUCGGAUAGCAGGCUGCAACUCGCCUGCUUGAAGUUGGAAUCGCUAGUAAUCGCGGAUCAGCACGCCGCGGUGAAUACGUUCCCGGGCCUUGUACACACCGCCCGUCACAUCACGAAAGCCGGUUGUACUAGAAGUCGCCACACCAACCCGCAAGGGAGGGAGGCGCCUAAGGUAUGGUCGGUGAUUGGGGUGAAGUCGUAACAAGGUAGCUGUAGGAGAACCUGUGGCUGGAUCACCUCCUUUCUA
rnacentral:rRNA from 1 species